rnacentral:rRNA from 1 species
GACAGAGGGUGCAAACGUUGUUCGGAAUUACUGGGCGUAAAGCGCGUGUAGGCGGCCAUCUAAGUCGGGCGUGAAAUCCCACGGCUCAACCGUGGAAGUGCACUCGAAACUGGAUGGCUAGAGUCCUGGAGAGGAAGGUGGAAUGCUUGGUGUAGAGGUGAAAUUCGUAGAUAUCAAGCGGAACACCGGUGGCGAAGGUCGGCCUUCUGGACAGUGACUGACGCUGAGACGCGAAAAGCGUGGGGAGCAAC